UAAGGGAUCUUGCGACAAUGGGCGAAAGCCUGACGCAGCAACGCCGCGUGCGGGAUGACGGCCUUCGGGUUGUAAACCGCUUUUCGGGGGGAAGAGGAAGGGCGGUACCCCCGGAAGAAGUCUCGACUAACUACGUGCCAGCAGCCGCGGUAAAACGUAGGAGGCGAGCGUUAUCCGGAUUUACUGGGUGUAAAGCGCGUGCAGGCGGUUCUGCAAGUGGGACGUGAAAGCGCCCGGCUCAACCGGGCGAGGACGUACCGAACUGCGGGACUAGAGGCAGGUAGAGGCGUGUGGAAUUCCGGGUGUAGUGGUGAAAUGCGUAGAGAUCCGGAGGAACACCAGUGGCGAAGGCGACACGCUGGGCCUGGCCUGACGCUCAGACGCGAAAGCAUGGGGAGCGAACGG
rnacentral:rRNA from 1 species